ensembl:snoRNA SNORD115 Small nucleolar RNA SNORD115
AGGUCUAUGAUGACACCUAAGCUUGUCUUGAAGAGAGAUUGACAUAAAAAUCAUGCUCAAUAGUAUUAUGCUAAGCCCU